UGGGGAAUAUUGGACAAUGGGCGCAAGCCUGAUCCAGCCAUACCGCGUGGGUGAAGAAGGCCUUCGGGUUGUAAAGCCCUUUUGUUGGGAAAGAAAUCCAGCUGGCUAAUACCCGGUUGGGAUGACGGUACCCAAAGAAUAAGCACCGGCUAACUUCGUGCCAGCAGCCGCGGUAAUACGAAGGGUGCAAGCGUUACUCGGAAUUACUGGGCGUAAAGCGUGCGUAGGUGGUCGUUUAAGUCCGUUGUGAAAGCCCUGGGCUCAACCUGGGAACUGCAGUGGAUACUGGGCGACUAGAGUGUGGUAGAGGGUAGCGGAAUUCCUGGUGUAGCAGUGAAAUGCGUAGAGAUCAGGAGGAACAUCCAUGGCGAAGGCAGCUACCUGGACCAACACUGACACUGAGGCACGAAAGCGUGGGGAGCAAACAGGAUUAGAUACCCUGGUAGUCCACGCCCUAAACGAUGCGAACUGGAUGUUGGGUGCAAUUUGGCACGCAGUAUCGAAGCUAACGCGUUAAGUUCGCCGCCUGGGGAGUACGGUCGCAAGACUGAAACUUAAAUGAAUUGACGGGGUCAUAGCUGUUUCCGU
rnacentral:rRNA from 1 species